rnacentral:snRNA from 1 species
ACUCAUACUUUGCAAGGAAAAUACCAUGUCAUAAAAGUGGUUUUCCUAGGGGGAAGGUUUGUCCAUUACACUUUGGGUGUGCUGCUGGUCCCUGUGAUUUCCUCAAAUGUGUGGAACUCAACUGCAUAAUUUGUGUUAAUGGGGGCAUUAUGUUUGUGAUUUCCCUG